GGGGCGGCGCUGGAUUCCCAGAGUCAUUAAAUCGCUGAAUCACGGAGUUUUUUAUGUUGGGGAAAACUCUGAGAUCACUGGAUCCAACCUAUCAAGGAACACCACCGGGGCCACAGACCAUGGCACUGGGUGCCACCCCCAGUCUUCCCUCCACCGCCUCCAUGGGGAGCCCAUUCCAGUGUCUAAUCAACCCUCUCUGUGAAGGAAUUCCUCCUGAUGUCCAACCUAAACCUCCCCUGGCACACCUUAAGACUAUGAAAAAAACUUCAAACUCAUCCACUACUGUUCUCAUUCUGUCUUAAAAAAUCAUCCCCCCUGACAGUAUAAUCCAGAAAGAGACUAUUGCUAAUUUUUUACCAAUACUGUGUUUCUGUUCCUCUCCACAGACACAAAAUUGUGCUCAAGAACAGUAUUUCUACCAGCUGAGACAAUUUUUAGCAAUAAUAGCUGAAGAGGUAAACCAAUGGGCCAGUGUUGCUGUUUUACAAGUGGUAGGUGAUCACUAUGAGGCUGUGGUAUUUCCACCCCUGAAAUUUCGUGUCUGCCCCACUGUGCUCUGCUUAGGAUGGAUCCUUCUGAUUCUGCCUUUAACUCACAAAUUGAAAAGUUCUGAAAAUUCUCAACGUAGCAAAAUUGUUUUGAAGUGUUAUUAUAUUAAUAUCAUUAAAAUAUGAGUUCUAUUUCCUGCAUGAACAUUUUCAUUUCAGUAUAAAAGUACAGAUUUCACUAAAACUCCUUGGUAGUACUGCUCUCACCUCAAAGAUCUCAGUUUUCAAAGGAUCCAUCCACAUAAUCUCUGUGGUUCAAAUGUGAUACAUAAAAACAGGAAAAAAAAAGUUAAAAAAAAAAAAAUCUUUUUUUUCCUUUUUGCCUUUGCUUCCAAAUGAAAUUCUUACAUUCCCUCACUUCAGGAGCUAUUUAUGCUUGAAAAUCCACACACUUUGGUUCAUAUUUAUCCAAAGAAAGCACAGGAUAUUCUCAGGAGCCUUUUUAAGUAACUUUUCCCUGGAGUUGUCUCUAAGCUGUGACUGCAGAUCUGUGCAUCACAUUCAUUGAGCAGAUGGGAAGUAAAAGUAUUCAGGGGAAAAAAAAAAUAUGCCAAACAUUUAUCUGUGAGAAUUUUCUGCUGGGUAUAUUUGGGAACCUUAUAGUUAUAUUUUGUAUUAAACUGCUUUUCUUCAGAGUGUCUUUUGUAGCAGGUGAGCCAAUGAGGAGCUCCAGUGCUGACUGUGUAAUUGUAUUUUUACAAACAACAGAAAUGAGAAACAUUUCUUCAGAUGUACCAAAAGCAGGUACCAGAGAAGAGAGUCUGAUUCCAGUACUAAAUUAGUAGUUAGGAAAUACAAGAACAUAGUAAAAAAAAACCAAUAAAAAACCCAAAAAGGAAGAUCUAGAGGAGUUCUUUACAGGCAGUGAAGAGGUUCCCAUCCCCAAACUUUUCUUUGCAUUAUCUUGUGUUUAAGGUGGAGGUGGAAGUACCCAUGAACAGGGAAAAUAAGCAGAAAAUCUGCAGAAUUAGGUGGUACUUAUCCCAUCUUUCUGGAGGAGCAGGGGAAUGAGCCCCAAGCAGAUUUGGGGGACUAGGAAGUAAUAAAGAUCCAAUUUUUUAACAAGGAAUUCUAGCAGAGAUCUGAAGGAGAGUUCUGCAAGCCUUAAUAAAGUAAGAGAAACUAGAAUAAGUGAUAUUUUUGAUGGCUACCUGAGUAUUAAAUUCUUGGGAAGAGCCAACAUGGCUCUGAUAAAGGAAUAUCUUGUCUCACACAUCUGGAAAUACACAGAAAGAAGCAAUUUGCGUGCUUGGAUUCCAAAAUCUCCCUCAUCAAAGCUUUAUCAAGGUUUAUUUUAAGGAAACUAAGCAGCAAUGUCUUGAGUUAUAUUUAUAUCAAUGCAUGGCUAAAAGAUAAAUAGAUUGUGAGGGUGUGAAUGAUCACUGAAAGAUCAUUCAAAGAGUUAUCAAAAAAUUCAAACACUGGUUUUUCUCAUAAUCUAAAAGCCUGGAAAGAGAGAUAUGCACUGAGAUGACAAAAGGUGGAAAAAUAUGGAUAAGGUGGUCCUUUUCUAUAACUUUUUUUUUUACAUUUUGCUUGUCACAGGUUCCAACAGUCUUGAUGGUCCAUUAACCCAGUGCUUCAUCCACCUCUGCAGGUUAAAUGAGGAGUUGUAGAACAAAAGAAAUCUAGGGGUGAUUCGAUAAAUGUAGGCAUGUUUUAAGUAGCAUUUUAUCUAAUUUACUAAAGAAACUAGCACCAAAAAUAGUGCUGCUGUCAAUAAAUUACUGAAAAAAAAAAAUCUAAUCUGCCCCGGGCCACUCUUUUGCAGCAGUUUUGUUUGUUUGGAAAAAUACUUUAGCUCAUGUUUAUUCAACACCUGAGCAGUGCUUCCAUAUUCAAUUUGUCAGCUUACCCAGAGCCCAGAGACUCCAAUAAAUUAUUAAAGAGCAGCAUUGCAUAGCAGGAUUGGUAGUGACACAUUGUGUCUCCUCACAGAGAGAAAUCAAGCUUUAUUUUCAUGUGGCUCCCCUGAGGAUGAUUCUGUGCUGCACUAAAGGUUUAUUUUAAAUGGUUGCAUGGGUGUUUCUGAAACAUCAGCACAAGAGUGUUUCAGACACUAGAGAAGAAAGUUAUUUAUUCUGAGGUAAUAAAUUUUAGGAAAACAAAGAUCUGUCAGUGAAGAAUUAUAUUUAUAUAUAUAAUAUGUAGAUGAAAAUAUAUGUUGUAUAUUCAGUGUGACUUCUUGCAAAAAUAUUUAAUUUUUAAAAAAUAUACUUUCUAAAGAAGAAAACUUAUUGCUUUACUUUCCAAUCUGGCAAAUGAUGAACAAUUUUGCUUUCAGCAGCACAAUCUGAGAAGCUCUGCACAUGUGUUUCAAGCACAGGACGGUUUUGGUUUGUUUUGUUUGAGUGUUGUUGCUGUUACAUCACUUUUCAAAAUUUUACACAUUCAGCACAUUUUUAGUUAAUCUUUAGCAUUUGAAUAUCUUAGUUUUUAGAUUUGGGGGCUGGUUUAGAGCUUGAAAAUCAAAGAAACAGGAAGAAUGUGUGGACAAAUUAAUUAUAUUAUGCAGUAAUGUUUAUAUAGAUAAUGGAUAAAAAUUAUGAAGGAUUUGACAGAAGCCUGAAAAUGUCUCCUGGAUCUUGAGAGGGAGUGUAUCAAUGGUAUUUCAUCCAUGGCAAGGCAGAAGGCCUCUAUUUAAAAAGUAAAAUGAGAUCAUUAAACUUUUAGCCAAAUACGAAUAAGCAUAAAUAUGCAAAAACUAAUGUAUACCGUACCUUAGUUUAUAAUUAUCUAGAUUACAUUUCUUGUUCAUUAUAAAAUCUAGGAUAUUUCAUUGAUUUUUUAUUUCUAUAUUAUUCCAAAACUUCUUCAGAUGGGGAAGAAAGUUUAUUUGUUUCCACAAAAGGAAAAUAAAACAAUGGUUGGGGUUAACACUGUUUCAUUGUGUCUGCUUACAUUUGGUGGUUACUUUGGAAUUACUUUGAUGUAAUUAUAUGCCAGCAGCAAAGAAGCUGGAAUUAAAGAGCUUUCUGAACAGGUCUCAAUGAUUUUUCCACUAAGAGGCAAAUCUUGACCUAGUGAUAAAAAGGACUUUAAGAUUUUCCAGCCUCUUCUUCCUGUGGUUUUUUUUUCCUGUAAAUAUUCUUUCCUCAUUGGUUGUGUUGUACAGGAAACAGUCUGCAUUUAAAAGUUCAAGUUUUUGCAUUUAAAAGAGGUUCUGAAAACAGGAAAAGGAGAAUUUUUGGUCCCAUGUGACACUGAACAAAGGUGACACAUUCAUGUCAUAAGAACUGGUAAAUCCCUAAUUGGUGGGUGAAAAUUGUUGUCAAAUUUCUUAGCAAACACUUUUUGAAAUUUAACAUUUUGAAAUUUUAUUCUGUUAAUUGUGUAUUAGACAGUGAAAAUAAGAUUGUAUUAUUGGUAAUAAAUAGCAAGGAAUAUUUUAGGCAUUCUCCAAAACAGAAGAUUUUCCUUUUAUAAUAAAAUCAGUCCAUGAUGCAUGGUUAAAACCAUAACAACUGGCAGGAAAUCAGAAAUAUAUUGUGAUUGUUACAGGGCUUUAUGCCACUACAAAUACUGCAGUGUUAUGGCAUUUCCACACAAUGAUAUCUGCAUCAGGUCUUUGCUUUUGCAGAUACUGAAUUUUGAAAGAAAUGUCAUUUAUCAUUCAUGGCAAUGGAACAAAAACAAUGCCACACAGAACUGGCAGAUCCUGCAGAGAACUGUACACUUUAAAUGCUUAAUUUUCAAAGCUCUUUGUGUGUUUAGCACUUACAGCUUGCCUGCAGUAUCAGUCUUUUCUAAAGGUCCCUAUGUAAAUGUGAAAUGUGUGCUGACUGCUCUACAUUUAGAUCUGUAGAUACAGUAUAAAAAGCUGCAGCUGAGCUAGUUGUAGGUUUCUUUUUUCAGCCACUGGAAAAAAAAAACAGGCAAUUCUUGACUGUAGCUGUUAUUAAAGAUUCAAGCUUGUUGUACAAGUAAUUUUUCAGUAUGAUGGAAGGAUUUUGUAGUAGAAAGAUCUUUGGCUUCUUUCAGAACUGUUUCAGUGUAGAACUCACCAGAAAUUAUAAAGGAAUAACAUUCAAGGUCUCAAAGGAUUAAUGUUUUCAAAUAUUGACUGUCUAAAAUCAGCAAGCUUCAGAAAUAAGCUUGCAAUACAGAGGAAAUUCUGUGAACGAGGUUUAUUAGUUAAGAAUGAUGAAAAAUAUUAAUAGAACAUUAGUUCUUUCCUCAUUAUCAAUUAAAAAUAUUUAUGCAGUAAUAUGCCUGUGCAGCAGCCUGUAAUAAAUUUCAGGAUUGUGAAAGAAGUUGCCCCAAACAAUUAUUUUGGUCAAAAUAACUGGGAGCAGGAACUCAACAUUACAGAGGAAAAUAAUGUUUACAGAAACUCAUUAUUCAAAAUUAAAAGGAAGAAAACUUUAUAGAUAAAACCUGUUUAAACUGCAUUUUCUUAAAGGAGAUUCAUUUCAUCUUCCACUUGUGCAGAUGGUUUGCAGACCCUUUAUCACAUGAACAAUUGAAUUUAUUCCUGAACAAUUAUCUGAUGGAAUUAUCCACUUCACUGGCAAAUAUUAAUAAAUGCAUCACUAUUUUCAGUCAUAUUAAUUUAUACCUCUUGGAAGGCAUGCACAGGAUGCUCCUGAAUGGGAAUUCUAACAGUGAUAAGGCAACAUUUUCAUAUAUGCAUCAUACAUAAACAAUUUAAAUGAUCAUCACCUUGUUAACAGUAUCACCUCUUCAGAAUUUGCAAAGCAUCUAAUCUUUUAACCUUGGAGAAGCAUAAAGAAGGAUAAUUCUACAUUUAAGGCAGAGGAAAGGGUUCAGCUAUGUCCAGGUUUGUGGAUUUUCUUGUACUGUUGUGUUUCAAACUCCCUCUCAUAUUCACAAAAGAGAAUUUCCAUUUUGUAUAAAUAGGAUGUUGGUGGUAAAGGAGGUUGUGGUGCUUCCAAAUCUCUAGUACAGCUGUACAGAGCAUUACAUGAGUUUAAUAAUCUGAUUCUUCUUAUUACUAAGCCUUGCAGAGACUUACCCAGCUUAUUCUUUUGUCUCCUUUUACUGUUCCACUGUUCCAGUGCUAUCAGAGCUGCUCGGGUUGGUAAGCAAAGGUAUUUCCUGUGCAAACAGAGCUCUUGGAAAUGUUCCAGCACUUAAGCAGCACUGCUGGAUGCAGGAGCUGCUCAGCUGGGUUGGUGGCAGUCAGUGAUACAGCCAUCAGCACACUGGAAUAACUGGGAUUUUGGGAUAAGUCACCUCAGAGUUUUGGGAGUGAAGCUGAAGUUUCCAGCCAGUCAUUGAAUUGAGUCCUCUGGUUUGGACCAGAAAAAGGUUUGUGAAACACAGCAGAGAGCACAGAGUCCUCACCCUUCAAAGUAACCAGGACCAAUUUCUCCCCAGCAGAAUCUGGCAGCACUGAUUAAUGUCCAGCACCAUCAACACCAGGACUAUGUACAAGCUGCUGAAAGCUAUAAAAAUGCAUCAACCUCUACUCCAACAGAUAGUAAAGAAAGUAUUUUUAAAAAUCCCAAUCAGCAUCUCACUAAGCAAGACAAUAAUGAAGUUGGCUUAUUUUAAUUUGGGUGAUUGAUUGUCAAGAUGCAACAACUGUUUCUCCAGUCGACACACCAGCAGUCUGUUUUUACAUAAAAGCACCAAGCAGGAAAUUGCUCCAUGAUAAAGUUGAGGAGAGACCUCAUGUUCAAGAAACAGAAAUAUGAACAGACAAAAAACCUUUACCAGAAUGUUGUAUAGAAAUCAUAAGCAUAUGACAUGAAAUAGGCUUGAAGACUUUGAUUUCUGUCAGAUUUCCACUCCAAGUUU